rnacentral:rRNA from 1 species
UACGGAGGGUGCAAACGUUGCUCGGAAUCAUUGGGCGUAAAGCGCACGUAGGUGGCUUGUUAAGUCGGGUGUGAAAUCCCUGGGCUCAACCCAGGAAGUGCACUCGAAACUGGCGAGCUUGAGUACUGAAGAGGGUCGCGGAAUUCCCGGUGUGGAGGUGAAAUUCGUAGAUAUCUGGAGGAACACCGGUGGCGAAGGCGGCGUUCUGGACUGCAACUGACACUGAGGAACGAAAGCCAGGGGAGCAAACGGG